AACGAACGCUGGCGGCAGGCCUAACACAUGCAAGUCGAGCGGACAUCUUCGGAUGUUAGCGGCGGACGGGUGAGUAACGCGUGGGAACGUGCCCUUUGCUUCGGAAUAGCCUCGGGAAACUGGGAGUAAUACCGGAUGUACCCUUUGGGGGAAAGAUUUAUCGGCAAAGGAUCGGCCCGCGUUGGAUUAGGUAGUUGGUGGGGUAAUGGCCUACCAAGCCGACGAUCCAUAGCUGGUUUGAGAGGAUGAUCAGCCACACUGGGACUGAGACACGGCCCAGACCCCGACGGGGGGAAGAGGGGGGGAAUCUUAGACAAGGGGGGAACCCCUGAUCGAGCCAUGCCGGGGGGGGGAGGAGGCCUUGGGGGUUGAAAAGCCCUUCCCCGGGGGAAGAUAAGGAGGGUCCCGGGAAAAAAACCCCGGCCUACCCCCGGC
rnacentral:rRNA from 1 species